rnacentral:rRNA from 1 species
AGUGAACGCUGGCGGUAGGCCUAACACAUGCAAGUCGAACGGCAGCACAGUAAGAGCUUGCUCUUACGGGUGGCGAGUGGCGGACGGGUGAGGAAUACAUCGGAAUCUACUUUUUCGUGGGCGAUAACGUAGGGAAACUUACGCUAAUACCGCAUACGACCUACGGGUGAAAGCAGGGGAUCUUCGGACCUUGCGCGAUUGAAUGAGCCGAUGUCGGAUUAGCUAGUUGGCGGGGUAAAGGCCCACCAAGGCGACGAUCCGUAGCUGGUCUGAGAGGAUGAUCAGCCACAAUGGAAGUGAGACACGGGCCAAACCCGUAGGGGGGGAAGCAGUGGGGAAUAUUGGAAAAGGGGGGAAAGCCUGAUCCAGCCAACCCGGGGGGGGAAAGAAGGCUUUGGGGUUGUAAAGCCCUUUUGUUGGGAAAAAAAAGCAGCAGGUUAAAACCCCGCGGUUUUGAGGGAACCAAAAAAAAAAACACCGGCUAACUUGGU